UACGUAGGGGGCAAGCGUUGUCCGGAAUCAUUGGGCGUAAAGCGCGUGUAGGCGGUUCGGUAAGUCCGCUGUGAAAGUCGGGGGCUCAACCCUCGAAUGCCGGUGGAUACUGUCGGACUAGAGUACGGAAGAGGCGAGUGGAAUUCCUGGUGUAGCGGUGAAAUGCGCAGAUAUCAGGAGGAACACCAAUGGCGAAGGCAGCACUCUGGGACGUGACUGACGCUGAGACGCGAAAGCGUGGGGAGCAAACAGG
rnacentral:rRNA from 1 species